GACGAACGCUGGCGGCGUGCUUAACACAUGCAAGUCGAACGGAAAGGCCCUGCUUUUGUGGGGUGCUCGAGUGGCGAACGGGUGAGUAACACGUGAGUAACCUGCCCUUGACUUUGGGAUAACUUCAGGAAACUGGGGCUAAUACCGGAUAUGAGCUCCUGCUGCAUGGUGGGGGUUGGAAAGUUUCGGCGUUUGGGGAUGGACUCGCGGCUCAUCAGCUUGUUGGUGGGGUAGUGGCUUACCAAGGCUUUGACGGGUAGCCGGCCUGAGAGGGUGACCGGCCACAUUGGGACUGAGAUACGGCCCAGAAUCCUACGGGAGGCAGCAGUGGGGAAUAUUGCACAAUGGGCGGAAGCCUGAUGCAGCAACGCCGCGUGCGGGAUGACGGCCUUCGGGUUGUAAACCGAUUUCGACUGUGACGAAGAGUGAGUGACGGUAAUGGGUAAAGAAGCACCGGCUAACUACGUG
rnacentral:rRNA from 1 species